rnacentral:rRNA from 1 species
AGGUAGGAAUACCCGCUGAACUUAAGCAUAUCAAUAAGCGGAGGAAAAGAAACCAACAGGGAUUGCCCUAGUAACGGCGAGUGAAGCGGCAACAGCUCAAAUUUGAAAUCUGGCUUCGGCCCGAGUUGUAAUUUGCAGAGGAUGUUUAUGGUGCGGUACCUACCGAGUUCCCUGGAACGGGACGCCACAGAGGGUGAGAGCCCCGUCUGGUAGGAUACCAAACCUGUGUUAAACUCCUUCAACGAGUCGAGUAGUUUGGGAAUGCUGCUCUAAAUGGGAGGUAAAUCUCUUCUAAAGCUAAAUAUUGGCCAGAGACCGAUAGCGCACAAGUAGAGUGAUCGAAAGAUGAAAAGCACCUUGAAAAGGGGGUUAAACAGUACGUGAAAUUGUUGAAAGGGAAGCGUUUAUGACCAGACUUGUGCCGUGUGGCUCAUCCGAGGUUCUCCCCGGUGCACUCCACACGGCUCAGGCCAACAUCGGUUCUCGUUGGGGGAUAAGAACAGUAGGAACGUGGCCCUCUUCGGGGGGUGUUAUAGCCUAUUGUACGAUACUCUGACGGGGACCGAGGACCGCGCUUCGGCUAGGAUGUUGG